CGAAAAUAAUUUCCACAUUUGUGUUUAGGGGAGGAAUCGGACUCCGGAGGUGGGUCUUCCAUCUCAACCCUUGCCCCACCCCUCGGCUUUCAGGAAGGACUACAAUGCGAACCCAACUCCGCUGCUCUGUUUAUGUACAAUAAGAACGGGCGGGCGUCUGGUCCUUCCUUUGCCUUGCCACUCUGGCAGUGGGCCAGGAUUUGGUCUGGGCUUGGGCAGCAGGGCAUAGAAUGGGGGGACCAGGGUCUGGGGACUCAAUCUGGACCUGCGCAUAUUGGUUGCACACAAUGACUCCUAUUCGCCUGCUGCCGUCUCGCUUGCUCCGCCGCAACCACGGACACUCUGAAAAGAACAUCCUUUGUGUGCUGUUGUACAAUGUACAUGGAGCAUCAUCAUGUUGGAGGUCGUCCCAGCACCGCCACUCGCACUCCUGCUCCUCCGCAGGGCAGUCCAUCAACAGCUGGUCGGGAUAUUCAAGGGGCAGUAGUCCUCCACUAAGAAAAAAUCCUCGAAAUGGUUGUAUUCGUUCUUAAAACACAAACAUGUAUAGUGAGUUUCAGAAUCAAAGUGCAGUCCAGUACAGAAAGCUUAAGUUUGUUUGAGGGUCUCAGAUUGUUCAAUUGCUCGUAAAUAAACUAUUUUUAAGUGAUAAAGC
ensembl:ncRNA lncRNA:CR46111 long non-coding RNA:CR46111